rnacentral:rRNA from 1 species
UGGGGAAUAUUGGACAAUGGGCGCAAGCCUGAUCCAGCCAUGCCGCGUGAGUGACGAAGGCCUUAGGGUUGUAAAGCUCUUUUGGCGGGGAAGAUAAUGACGGUACCCGCAGAAUAAGCUCCGGCUAACUUCGUGCCAGCAGCCGCGGUAAUACGAAGGGAGCUAGCGUUGUUCGGAAUCACUGGGCGUAAAGCGCACGUAGGUGGGCAGUUAAGUCAGGGGUGAAAGCCCGAGGCUCAACCUCGGAAUUGCCUCUGAUACUGGCUGUCUAGAGUUCGAGAGAGGUGAGUGGAAUUCCUAGUGUAGAGGUGAAAUUCGUAGAUACUGGGAGGAACACCGGUGGCGAAGGCGACUAUCUGGACUAUAACUGACACUGAUGUGCGAAAGCGUGGGGAGCAAACAGGAUUAGAUACCCGAGUAGUCCCUGAGCGGGCUGGCAAGGCGCAU